CAUUUUGUCUACAAGUUAUUACACCUGAAAACGUGGACCCUCAUUGUGUAACCAUGAGAAAGUGAUUUAAACUCUCAAGGUUAAUUCUCUUAGUGCCCCACCUGGAUCCUCUUUACAGGCAGUGCGCCCACCCCCUGGCUGCUGUUUGUGUUGCCUGAUGACAAUUCACAGCUGCCCCUACUCCUGAAAAUAGUCCUCAGCCAAAUAGAAGUCUCCUUGCCCAGGAGGCAACACCCGCUACUGCCCAGGGCAGAUCUCAGCCAAUGGCAGCAGACUUAAUGGGACAAAAAGCUGGCCCCCUUGCCUGAAGCUGGGCUUAGUUUUACGGUGAAACUCCAGCCUCUCUGUGGAAUCAAACUGAAACUAAUCUUUAGCAGUCUUGUUGCUCAGGAACCAAACUUUAAGACAGCUGGCAUCAGAAAUGGUCUCAGGAAGCUGACUCUGAGGAUGGGAUUCUGGAGUUGGCUUGCUUGCUGGCUGGAUGGCAAUGAAGACCCCAUAGCUGAAGGCAUCCAUUCAUGGGAUCCUAUCUGCCCCUCUAAACUGAGAUAAGAUUGCCUCAACGUCAUUUCAAACCUUGUGAAAGUCUUAAAGCCUUCCGCAGAUUGCCGGGGCCAGUGUCUUCUCUGGCUCCUCUGGGCCUCCAUCAUGGCGUUACUGGACUGGUUCAGCUGGGAGGUCCUCUUGCAUCCUGUGGGCACUCUGGUGUCUAUGCCUCAAAUUCUAUAAAACAGCAUUCUCACAAAGCACUUUCACUGUGGUGGAUUUUACAGAGGCUUUUGGCGGGAGCAAAGGAGGGCUAUUUAUCCCAGCGACACAGCUUCCACUUGAACAUAACUCACUCUUGUUCUUACAAGCCUUUUAGUGUUCCCCACUGGGAUUUUUCAUUGGCUUCUUCACCUGAGAGUGUCAGCCUACCUCUGCCAAUUUGCCGACUCCUCCCUUUUUCUCUCCUCUUUAUUCCCUCUUUCCUUGUUAUCCUUGAGAGUGCUAAAAUUUUCUCAUUCUAGGAUGCCA
ensembl:lncRNA